rnacentral:lncRNA from 1 species
AGAUCCCUUCCUUCGAUAAAGUCAAUGACAGACCUCACUCGCAGGACAGCGUGUGUUGGCAGUGCCGUGCUGUCAGCUGUAAGCUGUGUUGGCAGUGCCGCGCUGUCAGCUGUAAGCGCUGUGUACUCACCGGGGCUUCAGCAGACGUGCAUUCUGAUUGCCUCCGGUGCACCUGCUUUCGUGAUCAAGGAUCAUUUAAUCCCGUAACUUCCCUUGUCCUGAUGGAAGAAGAGGGGAAGGUGAAUUACUCCUCAGAGUAAGAGCAUCUUUUUCAGUGCAUGCAACAGUUGUGCUGAGGCUCUCUGUAUCAUACAGCCACGGGCUGCUGAGAUUUAUCCCCUCAGAGCUGGGGACAGCGGGGUGGGAGUUCUGAAUUACCUCGCAUUGAGCCGAUUGAAAUCAGCAGUGCUUUAUAUAGAUUUUAAUAUCAGAGAGAGAAUAAUAGAACAGGAUUAAAAAUGAAUUUUUUUCCUAAGUAUAUAAACGUUUUCCAAGCCCUCUUGUUUUUAAUUUUUCUUCUGUUGCAUAUCACUUCUACCUUUCUGUUGAAAGCUCCUUUAACAAAACUGGGUUUUUGUUACAGCUGUUGGUAAUUAUGCAGGCAACACACGUACACAGGGGAAACUGCAUGGGCCUCACACGCUGUAAAAGUCAAGAUCUUCCAUAAAUGCAACUACGUUCCUUUGUAGAAGAAUAACUAACUUGAGGAAAAUACAUUAAAAUGUCAAAAACCAGUUAAAGAGAUAUUUAGCAAUUCUUAGCAAGAGCUGUGCAAAGUCAAAUCCUGCCCAGCUCCGCCUCUCAAGCACCUUCUGGCACAACAGUCUUGCACCCACUGGGUAGGUAGCUGAUAAUAGUGAUGCAAUUUUCACAUCACCUCAGCUGGGCCUCACGGAGAAAGUCUGCCCGAUGGUGUGGAUACAGAAGUUUCUAACAAGCCUGUAGAUGAAAUCAUAAAAUAAAGUCUCUACCAGUUAAAAGCUGCAUGAACGCUAUUUGAAUGGUCUAACAGUACUAUUUGUUUGUACAGCAUAAACAUCAUCUGCAUAUAGCAGCUCAGCGAGCCCAAAGCUGGGUCUGGCAGUGCCAUCUACCCAGGUGACGGUGCACCUUUCUGUCCCCAGGGCCUCCUGGUCUGCAGGACACACACCUCACUGCGAGGCCCAGACGUUGCUCACACACUUGUUGCACGGCCAUGUGAGGAUCUGCUUAGGUGUCAGUGCACCUGCUUUGCAACAGGCACCUCUGAAGCAGAGAGGAUUGGCUGCCCUGUGCACCUGACUGUGAGUGCCACAGCUGCCAACACCUAUGGCUGCCCCUUGAAAGGGUGGCCAGGCAAGGGAGAUGGGCUGUGUGUGUCCCCAGAAGUCACCUCUUCUGCUUCUAAAGGAAAGAUGGAGGAGAGAAUACUCUUUCCACACAGCUAGAAAGCCUCAGAGAGCUAAUCCAUCAUAAUUUUGGCUUCUUAGCUCUCGGCUGAAAAUGAGAGGAAACUGUAUAGCUGUGAAGAGCUGGGCCAAUGAUAAUAGUUAUGUUUGUUUUCCUAGAGAAAAGCUCAUAGAUGAAAGAGCCAUGGUUCCAUCCCCCAGAGAAGCAGGAACAGGUAUUUGAUAGCCAAAACUAUUGAGGAUGAAAUGCAUUCCAGCCUCUUGGUGAGCCCAGCCGCCACCUUCCUCCUCUCUGUAUCUUCCAAAGUGGCUGUAAUUCUAAGGUCAUAUAGCACUAAGCAGGCAGAGAAAAGCACAAGAGACAACCAGAAGUUGCAUAAUUCCCAAACUGAUGGGAAGGAAAUGUUUUUGAGAAUCCCACUAAAAUGAAUGCCAAAAUUGUUCUUAAGCCUUACUUAAGCUUUUAUUUAGGGUAUUGGAUAGAUGGCUGCUGUCAGUAGGAAACACUGACCAGUAUUGAGGCUACCUAAACAGAGUCCCGAGUGCUUGUGUGUAUUUUAGGCACAUAGCAGCUCUCUGGUCAAGAAUUCUUUCCUUGAACUGAAAAGUCAUGUCCUUUGGUGCAGUCUCAUAGCCAAAACUGCCAUUGUAACAGAGGUCCAAGCAUCUCCUUCCCUAGGUGUAGGUGGUUUCAACUCCUGAAGUGGUUAUAAGAAGCAAUGCCCCGUAGAACACGAAGCUUAGGAGGAUGAGUAAUAUCUGAAGUGUGGAGGCAGUGAGAGAUGACCCGCAUAUUAUGUGCUUUUUAUUUAAUAGUUUAUAAAUAAAUAUCAGCUUUCCCCAAACUGUCCCUCAGCCCAGCAAUUAUAUGUUGGCUGAUUUCUUGUUAGUGCUGUUCUUUUCUAAUAACAAACUGUUCCCAAAGCCUCACAUACAGAGUUAGACAAUCAAAGCACUGUGUGUGACUUUCCAGUUAAUUCAUUCAGCUAGCUGCAAUUAAAACAAUACAAUUCAAAGCCUUGUGUGUUUCCCUGCAAAAAUACGAACCUUUGGUCGUUACUAUUAAUAUAUACAACCUACAAGAAAGAGUUAACAGAGCCCCUUUGUCUUCCCUGCUGUAGUAAUUUUUUUAUGCUUUUCUGUAGAUGUCCCAGCAGUCAUUAAUAUUUCUUUCAGUCACUGUUCUUCAAAAGACACAUGCUUUUCAUUCAAUUGCACAGAAAGAAAAGGAAUUCGGUGGGCCAGAUUCCCUCUGUGGCCAGAUCCGUUCACUACAGCUGCCUGGGGAGGAAUUUAGGUGAAGGGUUAUCGUCAAGAGGAAAAUCGAACUUAGAAGGGAGGAGGUCACCAUUUUUGCAGAGGUGCAGAAGGGAACAGAAGCUAUAUCCUGCCCCAUGCUACAACGUUCGGGUAUUCUAAUCGAGCAUCUGUGGCUGUCUCCCACACUAUCAAGCUCCUUAGAUACUGGACAUAUUUCCAUCAACCAAGAGACUGAGCAUAUCGUGCUCAAAAAGAGUACUCAACGGCAUGAAAAAGGGGAUUAAAAAGCAAAGAACCAAAACCAGCAUCUCUUUUCCAGAAGGGUGAAAAUAUGCCAAGCCCAGUUCUAACUACAGAAAUACUUUCCAGUAUUUUCUUUCUUUCCAGUUACUGCAGUUCUACAAAGAUGUUAUUUGGUGACAGAUGAAAAGGAAGGCAAUUUGGUGAACAAGAUACCUAUUCCAAAGAUCUCCUGAUUAAAAGAAAGGCUAAUAUCUUACUCCUCACACUCCUGACAUGACCGUAGGCUUGAAGAGUCUUGCAAUCUGUAUAUAAUUUGAAUGAAGGAAGUCCAGUUGAAAGACUACAUCUCUAAUUGUUAAUGAACGUUUCCAGCAACAGUUUCACAGCAACAAUAACAAAAAAAAAUUCUCUGCUUGGAAGAGGUUUUCUUCCAAAUGUGUUCUCUUAGCUUAAGUUGCUAUAACAGAGAUAGCACUAGGCAGAUAGCAACUGUAUGUGUUCUAUAAUAAGUAUACUUUUCAUAAGGCAUUUCAAGGCAAACAGAUUACUAACACAUUUUAAAAGUUAAACUAUGUAUAUCAAGGACCACACUAUUGCAGCAAGCUAUAUACAGUAAGGCACUGUCCAUGAAAUCAAAGAAAUAUUUCAUAUCACAUUAAUACACUGACAUUAUUGCCUGACCUAUAAAUACUGAUAAUAUUUUCAUUAUCAUCUAUGUUUAACCUUCUUUAUCCUUUCAAAUGCCCUUAUGCCCAAUACGUGAAAACAUGUGAUAGAGUUCCACAUAGUAAGUCCAGAAAUCACAUCAAGGAAGUUCUUUAUUGGUUUCUUUCAAUGACUUUCAGAUUAAAUCUGCUCAUUUUAUAAAUGCAGUAAAGGUUUUUGUUAAGUGUCUAGUCUAAAAACACAUGGUUGAAGUUAGUAGGUUUUUUCAAUCCAGCAACAAAGGACCCUGCAACUAGAACAAAGUUAAUAACUGCUGAUGACAUACAUGCUAGAAGAAAAAAAACAAAACAAAACAAAAAAAAACCCAGUGCCUCACUCCUUAGUAUCAGAAGAAGAAAAUCAUACUUUAGAACUGAAAGAAAAUUAUGGCGUACACAAAAAGAACAGGUUUGUAUAGAAAACUAUCAACCUUUCACCUACUCACCUUUCAGGCAUUUGCUUCAUCAAACUCCCAAGUAUCAGUGCAAGAAUGAGUAUAAUUACCAGAAUGCCAAGGUAAGAAACAGGCAGACUUUGUAAAUCUGUUCACAGUAGUGUUCCAGAUUGGUGCUAAAAUAAGAGUUAUGAGCUACGUUCAUUUUAAGUAAAUGUAAGAAUAUCUAUACUCAGCUCAGACCUUCUUUAGUCAUCAUCUAUUUGGGAAGAAUGGAAGGAAUUACUGCUUCCCUAGAAGAGAAUUCAUUUUUCUCAGUUACAGAAUGUGAAAGUGAACAAACUCUGGCCUUUCUCCAGUUCAAGUCAAGGAGAGUUGCAUGAGCUGUUCAGCCUCAUGACCACACUUACCUACACUGUAGGCUCCCAGAUUAAGAGCAGUUGACUGAGCCUUCAGAGCAAGAAUGGUUUCAAAAUAAAAUGCUCUACCCAACAGACGUCAGUGGCACUAACUUACCAUCUCACCUUGUAACAGAAGCAUACUUGCUUAAAGUUUGCUAGAAGAUGUGAUUUGUACCAGUCACAUCAGGAGAGUAACAGAAACUUGUAGUGACCUUUCAGUCUCAUGCAGCUUGAAUCAUUUAUUAUGAGUGGAUAAGCGUUCUCCUGGCCUUCUAGAUCAGGGAAAGGAAGAAAGGCAAAAGAAACCUUGGAGUCCUCCAGAAUAUCAGCACAGAAUCAUAGAAUGGUUGGGGUUGGGUUGGAAGAGACCGAAAAGAUCAUCUAGUUCCAACCCCCUGCCACAGGCCUCCCACUAGACCAGGUUGCCCAAAUCCCCAUCCAACCUGGCUUUGAACAUUUCCAGGGAUGGGGUAUCCCUAAUUUCUCUGGGCAACCUGUUUCAGUACCUCACCACCAACACAAUAAAGAAUUUCUUCCUUACAUCUAAUCUAAAUAUACCCGCUUUUAGUUUAAAAUCUUUAUCUCUCAUCCUAUCACUGCAUGCCCUUGUAGAAAGUCUAUCUCUAUCUUUCUUAUAAGCCUUCUUUAAGAAAAGAUGCAGUAAGGUUUCCCUGGAGCCUUCUCUUCUCCAGGCUGAACAACCCCACCUCUCUCAGGCUUUCUUCAUAGGAGAGGCUUUCCAACCCCCUGAUCAUUUUUGUGGCCCUCCUCUGGACUCCCUCUAGCAGGCCCUUGUGUUUCUUGUGAUGGGGGUCUGAGAGCUGGAUGUGGUGGUACUGCAGGUGGGUUCUCAUGAGGAAUAGAGAAAGAGAAAGCAUCUCCAUCUAGGCUCCCAUUCAAGUAUUUCUGCCCUUGGUUAUUGACACUAAACAAGCUCAUGGACGCGCAGAAUAGUAACACGUUAUCAGCAGCUAAUAAAAUUAAACUAGGCUAGACGGUAUUGCUAUACUGAACAAAAUAGAUUCCUCCCUCAAACAGCAAAGACACUAGCACACAAAAUAGCGGUGACACAGACCUUCAGCUAGGAACACAGAUUGGCAGGCCUUGGCAGGAGUGUGUAAAUUCUGUGGUUUGGUCCUAGAGGCUGUGGCUUCAGCCCCAGCUCCCAAUUCCCUACCACAAACCACCAGAGACUGUUCAGAGUAAAUACAAGGCCAGCUUCUAUUCAGCAAGGUCCUGUCAUAUUCAAAUAUUAUCAUGCUAAGGGGCUUCUAGCUUAAAUAUCCUUCCAUAGGCAUGGCAACUGAACACAAGCAAUAGGUAGGAAUGAACUGGCUGGAGCAUGAGCUGGCUGAGACCCAUUCAGCUUGACAGCCAGGGAAAAUGUCUCAGCUGCCUCUCAUCUUCGCAUGAAGCCUGUCUUAUUGGACAGCUAUUUGCGAACACAGCUCAGCUGCUUUCUCUGAAUCAGACAGAGAGGUGUGCAGAUGAUGAUAUUGCCCGGAUUCCAGGAGCACCCUGGGGACCGACACCACGCUCCGUUGGUACUUCCCAUGAACUUAGCUGAAGGUCUGCAUACCAGGAAGGACUGUCUGCUUGCAGUGGUACUAGCAGAGUGGCAGGUGCUUUUGAACCACGCCAUGCUCUGUGGUGGGAUUUCCAACGUCCAAACGUCAUUAACUCAGCCUCUUCUUUCUGAACACUGGGAAUAAGGCAAACCCGCAUGGGCACGAGCGGUCAAAGCUGCCCAGCAUGUUGACACCGGAGCUAGGCUGAUGAAAGUCACACGUGGGGCAGCCCCUGCUUUGCAUUUUGGUGCAGAUGUACACAGAGAAAGGAGCGGAGGCAGAGCUGAGACGGUGGGAAACUUGGCGAGAAGGAGGGCGUCUGUUACUUGAAAUCACUCUACAGCACAUUACAAAUCUGUUAAAUCACUGCGGGUUACCCUGUAUUUCAGAGUAAAUUGGUAACUUUUCAGAGGGAGUGAAGAAACUACCACUCCACUUUUAAAUAAUGAAAAUGCUAAAAAACCUACACUUAACAGCUCUAAAACUGCAGCAAGUCACCCACCAACACCCACUCCUCUUGUCAGCAGGCUUUUUUCAGCUUUGCCUAUUAUUUGCGUGAAGCCAGAGAUGUUUAAUGUUUGCUGCCCUUAUCUGCUCAACUUUAAGGAGCCUCAAACGUUACAAUAUGUACCUGGGCCGCUGACCUGUUUCCCCACAGCACUUUGAUCUAAAUAAGUAACAAACACAGAGUUUCCAAAUCAUUUGGAUUCACUGGCUCUGAGCGCAUAGCUGUAAAAAAUCUGCUUUAAGAUUAACAUCCAAUUUUAUUCAUGCCUGAGGCUUCACCACAGCAUCUAUUUUUGUAAGAUUAACAGCAAGAUCCCAGUUCUCCAGAAAUGUAAAGAGUAACAGCCAGUUGUAAAAGAAAUCUGAUAUUUCCUAAUUUGUCCUGCUCGCAUCCAGGAAGGCAUAUUUUCCCAGACCUUCCAAUGAUGGUUGUAAUUUCUACUUGCAUUUUUGCACCCACGACACGCAGCGUGUGUAUUAAUCCUUCUGCCUCCCAUUUGCUGAAAUGCAUUUCUGAUGAAACUGUGAGUGCCAAAAAACCACUAGCGCAAAUCUCACAUGUGCAAAGUAUCCCCUGAAAGACAGCUUUUACUCUGGAGGAGUUAAGAAACAGUCAUCUUCCUGUACCUUGCACAGAAGCAUUUUGGAUCAUCUAACUUGAAAAUGCAAGUACAUAAAAGGAGCACUUAAUAUUCCAGCUAAUCCAUUUUAAAUUAAUAUACUUGCAAACAUUUCUUUUUAACAUGGGAAUCUGAGGACAAAUUGGGGGCCAUUUUUAACUUUAACAGCAGAAGAAAAGUUGCUUUAAAUAGUGCCUUUGGUAUCUGUCAAUUAGAGCUAUUGCACUGCUGUCAACUUGCGCUCCUUUAGUUCCAGCUUUGCUCCAUCCUACACAGAUCCGUACAAAUCAGUUGUCUCUUCCAAACAUGCACUAACCACUGGAAAGUGAAAUUAAUAAAGUGUGAGAAAAGCUGACUCAUAAAGCUGACACUCCUGUGCCCAACAACUCUGGGUUUCUCCCCUCCAGCUAGCUGUUUGAGAUAGACAGGCAAAGUGGUAAAAGAUUAUCAAAUUGCAACUGUCACUCCUGACAAAAUGCAUCUGAAUGCUGGAAGGAAUUUCAGGUUUUAAGCUAAAGCACCAUCCCAAAGAGUUCCUCAGAGCCUGUCAAUAUCUGUACCUUGGAUGGAAAGCUACCACUGAGCACAGUGCGUCCAACAUAUAGAACCUGCCACGAAAUGAAGUUCUUCGUAAGAAAGCUCAUCUCAGUCUUGGUUGGUAACAAUAACAAGGAGACAAGAUGAGACCAUCAGUCUCAAUUGUGAAGACAAUGUUUUCCUCCCAUAUUAUUCUAUCUGUCAUGUUCCCUUCAGGUUCCAAAGGAAUCCCUGUCUCAUACAUCAUUAUUUCCCACAAAGCUUGAAAGCCUUCAGGGGGGGUUUCUUCCUGCCCACUGUACCAGCCUUGAUGUCUGAGUACCUUCAGAACAGUGACAGAGGCUUCUACCAGCAAUAAAGGGGAACAUCUGCAUACCAAUUAAACUGCUGAGCUCUGAAGAGUUAAAAAAAAAAAAAGAGGAGAAAAAAGCCUUGAAAGUAAAUCUGAGCCAAGUUCUAAUUAAUGCCCUAGGCCCCGAUUCACCACAGCACUUAGGCAUGUAGUUAACUUUAAGCACGUAUUAAGUUCCAUUGAAGUCAAAAGACAGCAUCGAAGAGGCAAACUACAUUAGCACAAUUUAAUACUCUUUGGGCUAAUUAAUCAGCCAUAAAAAUUAACUGUGAGAGUGGUAUUCCUUAUUUUCCUUGCUGUGAUACUUACAGAUAAAAAUGCUUGGAUGUGGUUGGAAUAAGCAAAAAGCAAUACCUUGUUUAGCUGUCUUGGGCUGCUAAGUCCUACGGCUGUAAAGACCAGUCCCAGAGAGCAGCUAAAGGAGCUGAGCUCUCUGCACAUUACAGUCUCGCAGUCUAAUGUACAUACCAUCUACUUGGCAGAGGCACACAGGCACUAAAGACACAGCUCUUGUCUUGAGGAGCAGUAAUCUAAGAAAUGAAAAGAAUUGGCAACAGAUCAGCAAACCCAUCAGGCAACGGAUGGCACAUCAGAGACAGUUUUAUUUUUCUCUAUAAAGAAGUGUUUAUUCACUGCUGUGCAUCAAUGUUAUUUGUGAUGAGAGGUGGCAAGGAAGGGAAGCAAGCAGGGUUGGGUAAACCAGGGGAGCAGAGAGCACAUGCAAGUUUGGUGACUACUGGUGAGGUUACCAAGAGAGGCAGUGUCAGGCAGAGCUGUGGAGAGGGCAGCAGUGCUGAUAUCUAACAGGAAGGUAGACUGGAGUCUGGUCCAGACCUAAAUGUGAGCAAAGGCUUAACCCUCUUCAAUUUCAGCAGGUCGGAGCCCCGCAAAAAGGGAGCCCACAGCACCAUCUCCAAAGAGCUGAAUAGUUCCAGGUACAACCAACAAACCAACCGAUUUUUGAGCUCCUGCUGACUUCACAAAGGCAUGUGUACAACAAACCAUUCUGUAAACUGGGAUGCGAGGAGAAAAAGUAGUUGAUAAUCUUCUUGCUGGAAUUUCUGCAAAAACGAAAGCAAGGAAAGUUUCCUCAAGUAUCACCAAGGCUGCACAUGGACCUAUGAAAGCUAGGAAAGUGAGAGCAGGGGACAUCAACUCCUGACUGACAAUACUUCUUUAUCUCAUGCAUUAUGGAAACAAAAAGAAUAAAAACAAACCCCCAAAAUUAGAAUGCCACGAGCAUAAAACAAAGUACCAGCGUGACUUUGCAGAUUAAUUUUGAAUUUCCUUGCUUUCAUUGGUUUAAGAGCCCUAUUGUUACUCUCUUGUUUCUUUAAUUGCAGACACUAAAAAUUCUUUUAUCUUUCAAAGUCCUUAAAGUCUGUUAUAUAAAUACGUAAUUAAAGCCUCUUUCAACUGGGUAUAAUUUACUCUACAGUUUACAACAGCUGCACUAGAGCUAUUACAGUUUAUCAUUUAAAAGCCUAAUUAAGGGCUUCUUAAUUAGUGGAUCCUUCAGUCACUAGACUGUGACUAUGUAAAAGAUGCUUGGCAGCUAUCGCAUGUUACAAAUCUGCAUGAAAUGUUUGCCUGAAAACAGGGGAUGUGCAAGUCCAGAAACACAUUAACUGUCCCAGUAGGUCAGUGCAUCUCAAUGUGCAAACCUCCACAUUAAAGCUACAUUCUCAUCUCCAAGCGCACAGCUCAUUUGCAGACAUGCUUUUCCCUCGUGCACAUGUUGUGGAGAACCACUUCAGUGUCCAGUGCAGGGGUCAGGCUGGGAGACCGCCCAGAGCGGCUCAGUGCCUCCCACUGCACGUCGCACACCUUCCCACGAUUUGCUCUGCCACCCAGCUAUAACACCCAGGCCAAGCUGAAAGCUGAGUCUGUUCCCUGGGCUCCUCAUACAACCUCCUGAAUGCAGGACAGUCGAGCCUGGAAAGGACUACUCUCCAUCUGUUCCUGUGCCCUUUCCCACAGCAUCCCUAGAGCAGCUGCCAGCCUAGCUGGGCUGAGCUGCUAUGCCAGUCCUCUCAGAUGUGGUGAAUCUCAUGUUCAAACACACCCAAGAAGAUGGGGCUGUGCCCACUGGCUGCUCACGCUGGUUCUCACAUGGCUUGUCAAGCGCUUUCUUCAGUGAAUUCCAUUUCUUGCUGUUGCCAUGCUCUCCUCAGCAGCUGUGCCGCUGUGCCGCAUUCAGUGGGAAGCUCCUCCGCCGUGCCCAGAGUACUCACAUCGCUAGGAGGAGGAAGGAAGAUCCAUUUACUGCCUCUCACUUAUAACCACCAACACACAUUUCUCAUUAAUCACCACUAAAUUAGCAGUCCGUCACUGAGAUUUUAAGUGCAAUCUCUGCCCAGGGAUGGUACUGGAACUCCAUCAUCCUUCAC